UACGUAGGGGGCAAGCGUUGUCCGGAAUCAUUGGGCGUAAAGCGCGUGUAGGCGGCUCGGUAAGUCCGCUCUGAAAGCCCGGGGCUCAACCCCGGGAGGCGGGUGGAUACUGCUGAGCUCGAGUCCGGAAGAGGAGUGUGGAAUUCCUGGUGUAGCGGUGAAAUGCGCAGAUAUCAGGAGGAACACCGGUGGCGGAGGCGGUGCUCUGGGCCGAAACUGACGCUGAGGAGCGAAAGCGUGGGUAGCAAACAGG
rnacentral:rRNA from 1 species